rnacentral:rRNA from 1 species
UUAAGCGACUAAGCGUACACGGUGGAUGCCCUGGCAGUCAGAGGCGAUGAAGGACCGUGCUAAUCUGCGAUAAGCGUCGGUAAGGGUGAUAUGAAACCGUUAUAACCGGCGAUUUCCGAAUGGGGAAACCCAGUGUGUUUCGACACACUAUCAUUAACUGAAUCCAUAGGUUAAUGAGGCGAACCGGGGGAACUGAAACAUCUAAAGUACCCCCGAGGAAAAGAAAUCAACCGAGAUUCCCCCCAGUAGCGGCGAGCGAACGGGGAGCAGCCCAGAGCCUGAAUCAGUGUGUGUGUUAGUGGAAGCGUCUGGAAAGGCGCGCGAUACAGGGUGACAGCCCCGUACACAAAAAUGCACAUGCUGUGAGCUCGAUGAGUAGGGCGGGACACGUGGUAUCCUGUCUGAAUAUGGGGGGACCAUCCUCCAAGGCUAAAUACUCCUGACUGACCGAUCGUGAACCAGUACCGUGAGGGAAAGGCGAAAAGAACCCCGGCGAGGGGAGUGAAAAAAGAACCUGAAACCGUGUACGUACAAGCAGUGGGAGCACGCUUAGGCGUGUGACUGCGUACGUUUUGUAUAAUGGGUCAGCGACUUAUAUUCUGUAGCAAGGUUAACCGAAUAGGGGAGCCGAAGGGAAACCCGAGUCUUAACUGGGCGUUAAGUUGCAGGGUAUAGACCCGAAACCCGGUGAUCUAGCCAUUGGCAGGUUGAAGGUUGGGUAACACUAACUGGAGGACCGAACCGACUAAUGUUGAAAAAUUAGCGGAUGACUUGUGGCUGGGGGUGAAAGGCCAAUCAAACCGGGAGAUAGCUGGUUCUCCCCGAAAAGCUAUUUAGGUAGCGCCUCGUGAAUUCAUCUCCGGGGGUAGAGCACUGUUUCGGCAAGGGGGUCAUCCCGACUUACCAACCCGAUGCAAACUGCGAAUACCGGAGAAUGUUAUCACGGGAGACACACGGCGGGUGCUAACGUCCGUCGUGAAAGAGGGAAACAACCCCAGACCGCCAGCUAAGGUCCCAAAAGUCAUGGUUAACGUGGGAAACGAUGUGGGAAGGCCCAGACAGCCAGGAUGUUGGCUUAGAAGCAGCCAUCAUUUAAAGAAAGCGUAAUAGCUCACUGGUCGAGUCGGCCUGCGGCGGAAGAUGUAACGGGGGCUAAACCAUGCACCGAAGCUGCGGCAGCGACGCUUAUGCGUUGUUGGGUAGGGGAGCGUUCUGUAAGCCUGUGAAGGUGUACUGUGAGGUAUGCUGGAGGUAUCAGAAGUGCGAAUGCUGACAUAAGUAACGAUAAAGCGGGUGAAAAGCCCGCUCGCCGGAAGACCAAGGGUUCCUGUCCAACGUUAAUCGGGGCAGGGUGAGUCGACCCCUAAGGCGAGGCCGAAAGGCGUAGUCGAUGGGAAACAGGUUAAUAUUCCUGUACUUGGUGUUACUGCGAAGGGGGGACGGAGAAGGCUAUGUUGGCCGGGCGACGGUUGUCCCGGUUUAAGCGUGUAGGCUGGUUUUCCAGGCAAAUCCGGAAAAUCAAGGCUGAGGCGUGAUGACGAGGCACUACGGUGCUGAAGCAACAAAUGCCCUGCUUCCAGGAAAAGCCUCUAAGCAUCAGGUAACAUCAAAUCGUACCCCAAACCGACACAGGUGGUCAGGUAGAGAAUACCAAGGCGCUUGAGAGAACUCGGGUGAAGGAACUAGGCAAAAUGGUGCCGUAACUUCGGGAGAAGGCACGCUGAUAUGUAGGUGAAGUGACUCGCGGGUGGAGCUGAAAUCAGUCGAAGAUACCAGCUGGCUGCAACUGUUUAUUAAAAACACAGCACUGUGCAAACACGAAAGUGGACGUAUACGGUGUGACGCCUGCCCGGUGCCGGAAGGUUAAUUGAUGGGGUCAGCGCAAGCGAAGCUCUUGAUCGAAGCCCCGGUAAACGGCGGCCGUAACUAUAACGGUCCUAAGGUAGCGAAAUUCCUUGUCGGGUAAGUUCCGACCUGCACGAAUGGCGUAAUGAUGGCCAGGCUGUCUCCACCCGAGACUCAGUGAAAUUGAACUCGCUGUGAAGAUGCAGUGUACCCGCGGCAAGACGGAAAGACCCCGUGAACCUUUACUAUAGCUUGACACUGAACAUUGAGCCUUGAUGUGUAGGAUAGGUGGGAGGCUUUGAAGUGUGGACGCCAGUCUGCAUGGAGCCGACCUUGAAAUACCACCCUUUAAUGUUUGAUGUUCUAACGUGGACCCGUAAUCCGGGUUGCGGACAGUGUCUGGUGGGUAGUUUGACUGGGGCGGUCUCCUCCUAAAGAGUAACGGAGGAGCACGAAGGUUGGCUAAUCCUGGUCGGACAUCAGGAGGUUAGUGCAAUGGCAUAAGCCAGCUUGACUGCGAGCGUGACGGCGCGAGCAGGUGCGAAAGCAGGUCAUAGUGAUCCGGUGGUUCUGAAUGGAAGGGCCAUCGCUCAACGGAUAAAAGGUACUCCGGGGAUAACAGGCUGAUACCGCCCAAGAGUUCAUAUCGACGGCGGUGUUUGGCACCUCGAUGUCGGCUCAUCACAUCCUGGGGCUGAAGUAGGUCCCAAGGGUAUGGCUGUUCGCCAUUUAAAGUGGUACGCGAGCUGGGUUUAGAACGUCGUGAGACAGUUCGGUCCCUAUCUGCCGUGGGCGCUGGAGAACUGAGGGGGGCUGCUCCUAGUACGAGAGGACCGGAGUGGACGCAUCACUGGUGUUCGGGUUGUCAUGCCAAUGGCACUGCCCGGUAGCUAAAUGCGGAAGAGAUAAGUGCUGAAAGCAUCUAAGCACGAAACUUGCCCCGAGAUGAGUUCUCCCUGACUCCUUGAGAGUCCUGAAGGAACGUUGAAGACGACGACGUUGAUAGGCCGGGUGUGUAAGCGCAGCGAUGCGUUGAGCUAACCGGUACUAAUGAACCGUGAGGCUUAACCUU